rnacentral:tRNA from 1 species
GCUGGAAUGGUCUAGUUGGUUAUGACGACUGCCUCACACGCAGUAGGUCCCGAGUUCGACUCUCGGUCCCAGUA